rnacentral:lncRNA from 1 species
UCGCUUUCGACUCAUGAGGAAUCCAUCAUAAUCCAUUAACGCAUAAAUGACAUAAUCCAAAACGUUUUGUUUUGUUUUGUUUGUUUUGUGAUGAGCAGAUGGAACAUUUCUAAGGAUGGUGCAGAAUGUUUUGGAUCCAUUACAACAAGUUGUAGCCGACGGAUGUCAUCUAACGAGGAACACAGAAGACUACCUUUUAGAAGCUGGGUUCAAAGGUGGUGUAGAUAUCAACAAGGUCUCUCUUUCUGCCUUUUACCACUUAAGCCCUCAUCUUUAUGGAGUUGCUUAUAAUUAAAAAAAAAAUAGCUGGGAAAUAUCUGAACUCAGCAGCUCAUCUUUGGACUGAACACAAGGCUUUCUUUCACGUUUGAAAAUAUCAAGUUUUCAACUCUGUUUCUCUAUAUCUGCUUUUGAUCCUAAACUAUCGACUCAAUCCAUUGAGUCUAAGCGAUUAUGAUGUUGUGUUUGUAACUGAAUAAUGCUUAUAAGCAGAAAAUAAUGUAAAAUUAUCAGAAAGUUUGGAACUCUUUCUUCUACUAAUAAAAAAAGGUAAUUGAUCAACUUUGAGACGUCGGACGGAACUAUAUCUUAAUUAUCUUCACUCUUAUCCUUUUUCUUAUUAUGAGUAAUUGAGAUUUUAAACUUAGCAAUGGCAACCCUCUAUUCUGUCACCUUUUCUUUCUUCUUCUUUUUUGAGUGAAUGUAAAAUUUAUUCAUCACAAAACUCUUUUUAACAAUAAAUGCUUCAAAAGUUUGGAAGACUUGUCACCUUCUUCACUGGUCAAUACAUAUGAAAUCUUCGAAAAGAGACGUUGCAUAAAGAGAUUACACAUGUGGGCGGAACUAUAUCUUCAUCUUGUAUACUCUUAUUGUUUGUUUUGAUGAUGAGCAAUCGAGGUUUUAAAUUUCGCAAUGGCAACCCUCCACUUGUCACCUUCUUCACUGGUCAAUACAUAUGAAAUGUUUGAAAGAGACACUGAGAGACUACACAUGUGGACGGAACUAUAUAUAUAUUCAUCUUCUUCACUCUUAGUCUUUGUUUUGAUUAUGAACAAUUGAGAUUUUUAAUUUAGCAAUGGCAACCCUCCACUUGUCACCUUUUUCACUGGUCAAUACAUCGUUGUAAAUGAUAUGUAGGUUCUUACGUAUUUAAAUUCUCUUUCUGUGCUAGAGAUUUAUGUGUUUUUUGUUUCAAGACAACAAAAAAAAAAUGUCCAGAAAGGUUGAUAAGAUGUGUUUUUAGUGGUUUCUGACCUCUAUAGAUAUAUAAUUUUAUUUGAAUUGAACUAUGUGGUUUUUAUUGGAUGAAAAUGUGUAUUUUUAAAGUAUUUUAAUCUAUUAUCGAGUUUUUCGGGCACUAAGUUUUUUUAGAAAAAAUGAUCAAAUAUUUCCUCUCUAGUAAUUCCUUCCAAUUACUAUAUCUAACAGCCAAGAUAAUUACUCACACUAAACCUAAGAGACUAGAUAUGCAUUAAAUCCAGCAGUCCAUCUCUGAACUGAAUUCUAGAAUUCUAGGAAUGUUUCGGGCAUCUGAACUCGUUAAAGUUUUUGCAGCCAGUUACUCUGAGUUGCCAACUCUGUUCCAAUUAUAUAUUUUUACUUGUCAUUUGUGAAGCAAAAUCAGUGCAAUCAGAGAGUUUAGAGAGAAAGCUUAAAUUUGACAAAUGAUGCUUUCCAUCUUCAAAUUCGAACAUUUAGCUGUUAAUUCUACUGGUGUUUCAGAAAAAAAAAAAAGAGAGGAAAAGCUGUUAAUUCUGCUGGUAAAUAUUUCUAUUUUAGGGAUUGGAAUACUAAGUUCGGGUGUCACCGACUGCAAAAAGGAUAUUAAAAAUAAAACAGUUUUAUUCUGAUCCGAUAAAAUCAUGGAUUUCAAUCCAAAACUUCUAAAAUUCAAAAAGAAAAGGUUCUAGGACAGUUAUUAUUUAGCUUCAGUUGUGAAAAUCGAACUCAAGAAAAUAGUAUAUAACGAGGCUUUAUCCUAUAACAACCUACUAGGUAACGCGUCGGCUAUAUGUAAGUUCUCAUAAGAUUACCAUCGUUAUUAUUGUUUGACUACUGUAUAUGGCAUGUAAAUACUUGGCCUCUCUUGUUAGUAGGAAUAUCUAUAAUUAGAAACUACACAAAAGAAAAUCCAAAAGAAAUGUCAUUUUCAAAAGUAAAGAGAUUAAGGGGUACACGUUAAGUUAAAAAAAAAAGCAUGGCUUUUCACUGCUUUCAGAAGAUAUGAUGUGGACUUCUAAUAGCAUCUUUAAUUCAUAUUUAUACUAGGUGUUUAAUUAUCUUACUAAUAUUUAUUAAUAAAUAUAUUAUUAAUUUAAUGACCUACAAAAUAAUUUAUUGUCAUACACUUACAAAAUCAGUAACAAAUUUUACAUAAAACUAUUUAUAAAUGAUGCAGUCUUUCACUAAAACACACAUAUCUUUUAUAUAUAUAUUAUAAAAUUAGAAACAAUCAUGUUAUGUAAAUAUUGUAGAAAUCUAUUUAUAUACAAUUUUGGUUGUGUUUUUUAUAAUUUUAAAUUUUAUUUUCAUUAAUUAUCAAUAUUUUUAAUUAUGUUUAUCUAAACAUAUCUAAUAUAUAAACUUAUAAUUAUUAGACUAUUUAAUGAUUUAUUAAUUUAGAAUUCAAUUUUUACACGAUAAAUACAUGUUCAGAAAUUUAUCUACUGAAAAAAUAUUAUUUUUUGGAUAUUUAUACAAUAGACAUGAUUUUUUAUUGUCAAGAAACGUUAUUUUAUUUUUGAAUAUGUUAUUAUAUAUAAUUCAUGUUUAAUGGUUAAUUUAUAAAAUUAUAUUCAAAUAAAUCUAACUAUUCAUUAAGGAUAACAACAUAUUUAACCAGUCUAAUUUUUAACGUAAGAGCUUGAAUGCGAAAAAUCACUUCAAAAAUAAUAGUAUAGAUGAUUAAUUUAUAAAAUUAUAUUGAAAUAAAUCUAACUAUUCAUUAAGGAUAACAACAUAUUUAGCCAGUCUCACUUUUAACGUGAGAGCUUGAAUGCAAAAAUCACUCCACAAAUAAUAAUAUAGAUUUGUUUUAAUUACAAUAAGAUUACUAUUUUUAUAUUUAUAGAAAUAAAUAUUAUUUUAUUUUUACUCUAAAUAUAAAAAAAUAUUAUUUAAAAAUUUUAUCAGAUUAAAUUUUACUUUUAUUAUAAAAUUCUUUUAUAUUGUAAAUAACAAAUACAUUGAAAAUAAUCUAAGUCUAAAACAACCAAAGGAUAGAAACAAAAGAUUACAAAUGCGAAUUUAAUAAUAUUAACAAUACAUACUAAUAAUAUAAAAUAAUAUCAAGACUAAAGAAUGGAAAUACGUUAUAAUCGAAUUUUAGACAAAAUUAAAGGGUAAACAAAGGAAAAUAUAUAUUAAAAAAAAAACUAUUUUCACACAUUGAAACUGGUAAACACACUAAUUUUAAGUAAAACACAGAUAACUUUUUCUCUAACUGAUGGAUCGAUUUCGAACCGGUGAUAUUAGAAAGCUAACUCAGUUUUUAUCUUUGUAUCAAAAUUUGAGUUUCAUUCAUAGGUGUGAAAUCUUGCAAUCAAUUGCUAAACUUAUGAUGUAUAUGUAAAGUUAUGCAUCUCCAGUUGUCUUUUUACAUUUAAUUUGACUUCUAUUGUUCCAAGUAGAUCUAAAACCCUGUAAAAACUUGAUAAUAUACUAAAAGACUCUUAAACACAUACUUUGAUUCAAAACAUAGAUUAGAAACCGGUAAAAACACAUAUAUAUCACUUAAGUCGUUCUAUAAUUGGUUAUUGCAUACAUCUAGGUACCCCCGUUAUCACUUGGAAAUUCAAAAAGCAACAAACCGUAAGUCACAGUGGAAAACAUAAGCAUGGCUUUGGCUACUUGUCAACUUCUUUGGUUGGCUCAGCUGCUGAAAGUAUUCAAGGGUUCAUGAUCAUGGCUCCAGCAGAGUUGUUUUCUAAUAACAAAUCUGUUAAUCAUAUUGCUUCCAACCAGUUCAUUCACAAGCAGACUAAGCACAUAUAGAGAUCAAUUGGCACACAGUGAAAAAAAUUGGCCAAAACUGGGGAUUUUGAAGUUGUUUCAUGCCUCUAGCUCCAAUCAACAUGAUGAUAAGACAUUACAUCUGGGUUUCUUUCACUCCAUUGGAUGUCUAUAUCAAAUCUCUUUAAGCCUAUUCCACUUUAAUCGGUUUGAGGCAUAUUGAUACUAUGUAUCCGAUUGUUAAAUCUGUCUUUACCACUAGUUUAUUAUGGUUUAGUGUCUUUUUUUUGCUUAAACCACUUAUGUAUAAAUAAUGAUCGAUAGAACCCAUUUCUGAGUACCGAGAAAUAUUCAAUCACAAAUUCAUCUUCUAAACUAAUGAUUUUGAUUUUUUAUAAAAUCUUAGAUAAGAUUUUAAAUAUUAAUCGUUCCCACUGAGACUUAAGGUGAACCCACAAGCCUAGCCUAUGUUUCCAGACAAAUAUUUCACGACUAAGUCUGCAGUUAUAAAAUAUAAUUUCUUAUUUUGAAUAAAUUUUCUCUGUGCACAUAGCCACAAACAUGUCAAGUGGAAUCAAGUAAAAUUGGUCCCUACAUAUCGUCGAACGCUUGACACUUGAAUGAGCAGACGGAGCCACACAAUUAAAAUGUAGUUUUCCCUCGUAGGACGAGCCACAAACUAGUCAUUCUCUUCAAAACGUCACUUGUUUUUUUUUGUUGAAAAUUCCAAAAACGUCCCUUGUUGAGCCAUUAUCUAUUCGUUACUACCAAAAAAUAUUAGUACAUAUUGUAUUUUAUUUCUAUAUUAUUUAAAUAUUCGAUUCUCAAUUAUUGUAUUUCAUUUGAUACAAAAUGACCAUUAAGUAUACAUCUGAAAGAGGAUAUAUUUUAUUUCAUUAAGCGCUUCCUUAAAAUGGCAUCGAUCGUUGUAUUAUAGAAUGUGAACGAGAAUCAGUUAUUAAUUUCCGGUAGUGAUACUGACCUACACUAAUGAGAAAAGACUUUUUGUGUCUUCCGGAAAUGACUUCUUGUAUGAACUGAACUGAUCAGUGGUAUGUGUUUGUCUAUUACUUAAUCUCUCCCGGUCUUUAAAAAAAUGCGUAAUUGAUUCCACGCGUACCACUAAGAAAAUGCAUACAUAUGCAGUUGCGCCCAUACACAUUGUGUUAAGAAUUUAAUUGGUUAUAUGUAUGUUUUAAUUUAUAAGUUAUAUUAGUACCUUGCAUGGGACAGUCCACCUAAUGUCUUAUAAAUUUGUUACAAUGAAAAAAAAAUUACUUAUAUCUUUCUCGGUCUUUUAAAAUUGCGUAGUUGAUGCCACGCGUUCCACUUGGAAAAUGCAUACAUAUGCGGUUGCCAUACAAAUUGUUUGAAGAACUUAAUAGGUCAUAUGUAUGUUUUAAUUUAUAAGUUUUUUUUGCGCAACAUAGAAAUCUUAUAGAAGCUAAACGAGUUGGCCCAAGGGAGCAAUACAAAGGUGGGCUUUUGCUAAUGUGUCCGCUAGCCCAUUAGAGGCCCGAGGGCAAAAUGAAAAGCGACAGACUGAAAACAGAGAAGAGAUCGAAUCGAUAUCCGAUAACACUCCGUAGAGUUCUGUCAGUCUUCGCUUCGUGGUGAUCGCCGUGACGAGCGCUUGAGCAUCUGAUUGGAGCCAGAUCGAGGUGAAGCUGAGUGAGAAGGCGUGAAGUAGAGCAUCUCUAAUGGCUAGAGCUUCUGCAAGAAGUGGUGAUGCAACUUGAUGGUGAGAUCUUCCUCCUCUCCCUACCUCUUGGUGUUUGUCUCUGAAGACCCAUCCUGAUCCUGCAACCACAGAGUCAGCUUUCCAGGCACCAUCCGUAUUGCAGAUGAUUGUCGUGUCAGAGAGAUCCAUCGACUGUGGCGGAGGAUGCGAUUUGGAGAGCGUGGGAGCCGUCGGGGAUUGCGCGAGUUCCCAUUCUUGCGCUGCCUUGAGACCUUUUGUUAUCAGAGCUGCAGGGGACGAUCGUCGAUUCUCAAAAGUGAGCUGGUUCCGGCUGAUCCACAGGAACCAGCAGAUCCAAGGGAGCAGGUUGAUUGUGAUCCCCGUUGGAGGGAGAUUGCGUUUGGUGGUGGAGAGGAUAAGAGCUUCGACGAAAGAUAACGGUUGUGUUGGGUCGAAACCUCCGUCCCAAGGAACUAGGUCCCAAACUUCCUGUGCGAAUUCACAAUUGAAAAACAAGUGCAAAGUGGUCUCUAUCUCACCGCAUCUGGCACAAUGUGUGUUAGCCAGUAGACCUCUCCUUUGGAGGUUUUCGCCCGUUGGUAGUGCAUUAUGAAUGAUCUUCCACAAAAAGAGCUUAAGUUUGGGCGAGAGACGAGGGGUCCAGACCAGUUUCCUCCAGUUUAAGGUAUCAUCGUGAUCAAACGGAGAUGGAGGGCUUUGCAGAGACUGGGUUGCUGCGAAGUAACCAGACUUGGUGAUGUACUCUCCCGUAUUAUUCAGAGGCCAGAUAAGAGCGUCUUCACCACCUAAAGUGCUUGGUUUUAUCUUGAGGAUGAGGUGAGACAAUUCCGGUAGAAUAUCCUUAAUACGGGCCACGUUCCAUUCCCUUGUUUCAGUAGAGAGGAGAUCAGCAACUAGGAGAUCCUGAUCAUGUUCUGUAGAAGGCCCGAAUGGUCGUAGAUUAUUCUUAGGGUCUAUCCAAGAAUCUGUCCAAACUCUGGUUGAGGUACCAUUACCAAUGGCCUUACCAAGAUGUGAAAUCAGUAGGUCCCUUCCCCAGACAAUUCCUUUCCAUCCAUGAGAGGAGCUCUUGCUAGCUUGAGUAGAUAGAAAGGAUUGAUGAUGGCAAUAUUUGCCAAGGAGAACUCUAGAUAAGAGGCAGUCAGGUUUUUUCAAAAUUCUCCACGCUAUCUUCCCUAGUAAGGCCUGGUUGAACAGUCUAACUUCCCAGAACCCUAGGCCUCCCUGACUUUUAGGUUUUGUGAGCUUGUCCCAAGCAAGCCAGCAUAUUUUCCUGUCUCCUUUGUUGUUGUCCCACCAGAAUCGGGUCAAAACUGAUUGGAUUUGGCUACAUAAACCUGCAGGUAGCUGGAAGCAUGACAUUGCAAAGGACGGGAUGGGAGAGAGGACAGACUGAAGCAUUGUCAUCUUGCCCGCUGUAGAUAGGAACCUUGUCGACCAACUCAUCGCUUUCUGCUUCAUCCGGUCUACAAUGGAGGCAAAGAGAUCCUUCUUCUUCCUCCCAAAAUGUUCAGGUAAACCUAAAUACUUUCCUACUCCCCCCUCUUUGUUUAUUCCUAGCUGCAAUUUGACUCUAGCGCGAACUAGUUAUAUCAGUACUUUGCAUGGGACAGUCCACCUGAUGUCUUAUAAAUUUGUUACAAUGGAAAAAAGUUACUUAAUCUUCUCGGUCUUUUAAAAUUGCUAUAGUUGAUGCCACGCGGUCCACUCAGAAAUAUGCAUACAUAUACAGUUGCGAGUUGCCAUACAAAUUGUUUAACGAAUUUGUAUGUUUUCAUUUAUAAGUUUUAUAUUAGUACCUUUCAUGGCACAGUCCACAUAAUAUCUUAUAAUUUUUUUGUUUAUAAUGGAAAAAUUACUUAAUAUUUUUCGAUAUUUUCACAAUGCGUAAUUGAUGCCAUGCAUUAUACUCAGGAAUAUUUAUUAUACACGAAAAAGAUGCUCUACACAAAUUAAGAUCCUAGAAAGUUCCAAACAAAUUAAAAAAAAUAAUAUAUAAAAUAAAGAUGCAUGCUAUGGAAAGACGGUUAUAUAUACGCUAUGCUGUACAUUGUACAAUGAAGACAUUAGAGAAUCAAACAGAAACGAGUAGUUUGAGAAAUAGCAAUGGCAAUCCUGAAUUUCACACCAGCCUCGAGGUUCCCGGUGAACAUAGAUUCAGCUCGGAGAACAAGAGUUAGAGGUUCUGUCAUCAAAAUGCAGAAGAGCCUCAUUACUACGGAUCCUCAUCCUCCUGCCUCACCUGGUUUCAGCUUAUGUACGUGCGGAAGAAAGCAUUUCCUAGGAGAGGCUACGACGCCGUUUCUUCCAAUCUCUCCUUCCUACGCUGCUCCAUCCACUGCUCCACCCACAGCUCCUAACUCAACGGUUGCUCGUAGUGAACUUUGCUGCUAAAUUAUAGAAGAGGAAUAAAAUACCUAUUUUAUCUAAUAAUCUAUAUCUUCAUUUAUAUCAGGAAGUAUUGAACCAAUUGCGUCCUCCUAAGCCUGACUGGUAUUUUGAGCUCUAUGGUUAUUUUAGGAGCGCAGGGAUGGAAAGAUAUGAGAAAGAGGUUAGUGACUUCAUGAGAUUUGCAUGCAUUUUUCCUUUGUUUCUAACGUUUCAUUCUUCUUCUUUUGUCAGAUUGCUGUUUACAAGAGGAAACUCUUUGCAAAUUUGGUGGGAAAAGCAGAAACUGUUUUGGAAAUUGGGAUUGGAGCUGGUCCGAACAUCAAGUACUAUAACAAUAUUCCAAACGUCUCUGUUCUUGGUGUGGAUCCAAACCCUAAGAUGGAAAGUCACGCACGCAAAUCCGCUAUAGAAGCAGGAGUGAAAUCCGAAAACUUCAAGUUCAUUCACGCGGUAAUGGCCUUCUUUAUAUUUUGUCGUGAACAAACGCGAAUCAAACAAGCAGAAAUCACGAAAACUUAGAGAAAACUAAAUCCGGCAAAUACUCGUUUUAGGGUUUGUAUAUUGAUCAGUGUUUCAAAAAAAAAGUAUAUUGAUCAUAUGGAUUAAUUAAUUACAACCCCUUGUUUAUUUUAUUUAGUUAUUUCUUUGCAUCCCCCUUGAUGUUCUUGUUAAAAUUGUUUGACUAGGUCGCAGAAUCUAUGCCAUUAGAAGAUGCAUCAGUUGAUGCAGUUGUGGGAAGUCUUGUGAUGUGUUCUGUCUCGGAUAUCCCUCAAACACUCAAAGGUAAAUUGUUUAACUCCCUUUAAAUCGAACAUCUUACUUCAGAUGUCAAAUCAAAAGAAAACAAUACUCAUCAAAUAGUUUGGUACAUGUACAGAGAUAAAACGGAUCCUCAAACCAGGAGGGCUUUACCUCUUCGUGGAACAUGUUGCAGCAGAAGGUAUAUCUUUCAACUCAUGAGGAAUCCAUUAAUGCAUAAAGGACAUAACCUAAAACGUUUUUUUUUUUGUUUUUUUUUUUGAGUAGAUGGAACAUUUCUGAGGAUGGUGCAGAACGUGUUGGAUCCAUUACAACAAGUUGUAGCCGACGGAUGUCAUCUAACGAGGAGCACAGAAGACUACCUUUUAGAAGCUGGGUUCAAGGGUGGUGUAGAUAUCAACAAGGUCUCUCUUUCUGCCUUUUACCACCUAAGCCCUCAUCUUUAUGGAG